GGGGGGCCGAGGAGCGGCCGUGCUCUCGCCGGCACCUGCCGGUCUGCCGGCAACCGGGCUCGUCGGGAGGCAGCGGGGCCGGUUUGGGGCCGAGAAGUGGAAAUCCUCCAUCCAGCAGUGCUGGGACAGAGAGCCCCGCUGCCCCCGGCGGAGCGCCGUCCCUGUGCCACGCGCCCUCCCCGCCUCGCGUCUGAGCGUCGCCUCCCUUUGCUCCCACAGAUCCGCAGCUCGCCGGGGCAGAGGAGGAUGCGGGGAGCCCGGCUGAGCCCAGCGCCGUGGAGCAGCAGCUGCCGCCGGAGCUGGACGCCCACGUGGCCGGCACCGUGCGAGCCCUGCAGGACGACAUGCAGCGCGUGCUGGAGCGGCUGAGCGAGCUGGAGCUGCUCACCUCCAGGACACAUCCGGGGCCGAUCCCGGAGAG
rnacentral:lncRNA from 1 species